rnacentral:rRNA from 1 species
GGACUACCCGGGUAUCUAAUCCUGUUUGCUACCCAUGCUUUCGUGUCUCAGUGUCAGUAUCUGUCCAGAAGGUCGCCUUCGCCACUGAUGUUCCUUCCGAUAUCUACGCAUUUCACCGCUACACCGGAAAUUCCACCUUCCUCUACAGUACUCUAGCUCAACAGUAUUAGGCGCAAUUCCCAGGUUAAGCCCAGGACUUUCACACCUAACUUAUCAAACCACCUACACACCCUUUACGCCCAGUAAUUCCGAUUAACGCUUGCACCCUCUGUAUUACCGCGGCGGCUGGCAC